AUUGAACGCUGGCGGCAUGCUUUACACAUGCAAGUCGAACGGCAGCGCGGGCUUCGGCCUGGCGGCGAGUGGCGAACGGGUGAGUAAUGCAUCGGAACGUGCCCAGUAGUGGGGGAUAGCCCGGCGAAAGCCGGAUUAAUACCGCAUACGACCUGAGGGUGAAAGCGGGGGACCGAAAGGCCUCGCGCUAUUGGAGCGGCCGAUGUCGGAUUAGCUAGUUGGUGGGGUAAAGGCUUACCAAGGCGACGAUCCGUAGCUGGUCUGAGAGGACGACCAGCCACACUGGGACUGAGACACGGCCCAGACUCCUAUGGGAGGCAGCAGUGGGGAAUUUUGGACAAUGGGGGCAACCCUGAUCCAGCCAUGCCGCGUGCGGGAAGAAGGCCUUCGGGUUGUAAACCGCUUUUGUUCGGGAAGAAAUCCUCUGGGCUAAUACCCCGGGGGGAUGACGGUACCGGAAGAAUAAGCACCGGCUAACUACGUG
rnacentral:rRNA from 1 species